ACGGGAGGCAGCAGUGAGGAAUAUUGGUCAAUGGGCGGAAGCCUGAACCAGCCAAGUAGCGUGCAGGAUGACGGCCCUAUGGGUUGUAAACUGCUUUUGUGCGGGGAUAAAACGGGGAACGUGUUCCCCCUUGUAGGUACCGCAAGAAAAAGGACCGGCUAAUUCCGUGCCAGCAGCCGCGGUAAUACGGAAGGUCCGGGCGUUAUCCGGAUUUAUUGGGUUUAAAGGGAGCGCAGGCGGUCUGUUAAGCGUGUGGUGAAAUGUAGGCGCUCAACGUCUAACGUGCCACGCGAACUGGCGGACUUGAGUGCGGUGAACGCUGGCGGAAUUCGUGGUGUAGCGGUGAAAUGCAUAGAUAUGACGAAGAACACCGAUUGCGUAGGCAGCAGACCAGGCCGUAAAUGACGCUCAUGCACGAAAGUACGGGGAUCGAACAGGAUUAGAUACCCUGGUA
rnacentral:rRNA from 1 species